CCUACGGGAGGCUGCAGUGAGGAAUAUUGGUCAAUGGACGCAAGUCUGAACCAGCCAUGCCGCGUGCAGGAAGACGGCUCUAUGAGUUGUAAACUGCUUUUGUACGAGGGUAAACGAAGAUACGCGUAUCUGUCUGAAAGUAUCGUACGAAUAAGGAUCGGCUAACUCCGUGCCAGCAGCCGCGGUAAUACGGAGGUUGCAAGCGUUAUCCGGAUUAAUUGGGUUUAAAGGGUGCGUAGGCGGGCGCAUAAGUUAGCGGUGAAAUCCCGAGGCUCAACCACGGAAUUGCCUCUGCUACUGUUCGCCUAGAGAGUAGUUGCGGUAGCCGUAAUUUCUGUUGUAGCGGUGAAAUGCUU
rnacentral:rRNA from 1 species